CGCGCAGGCGGAUCCAUAAGUCAGAUGUGAAAGCUCGGGGCGCAACCCCGAAAGUGCGUCUGAAACUGCGGAUCUAGAAUACCGUAGAGGGAAGGGGAAUUUCGCAUGUAGGGGUAAAAUCCGUAGAGAUGCGAAGGAACACCAGAGGCGAAGGCGCCUUCCUGGAAGGUUAUUGACGCUGAGGCGCGAAAGCGUGGGGAGCAAACAGGAUUAGAUACCCUGGUAGUCCACGCCGUAAACGAUGAACACUAGUUUUGGUGGGCAUUAACCCCUGCCGAGACGAAGCAAACGCGUUAAGUGUUCCGCCUGGGAAGUACGGUCGCAAGACUAAA
rnacentral:rRNA from 1 species